AUUACAGAAAACUCGUCCUCAAACUUACAAUUCUAUAUCCUUCAGCCAAAAAAGGAUCCGUAUAACUUAUUCUUUUCAAAGGAAUGUUUGCUGCAUCAAUGUCGCCAUUUUUUGUUAAUCCAAAAAACUCAUUCGUACGACUCGUCAUUCAGAAUUUGAGAUGCUAAGAAAGGAGAAAUAUAAAUCCCGGGUUAAAUGAAUUUCAAAUUAACAGAACAGAUGUUUAGAAAAUGGUAGCAUUCCAUAUCCCCUUAUGAAUAGUGACACGGUAAACGGAAUUGAGAGACUU